rnacentral:rRNA from 1 species
UACGGAGGGUGCAAACGUUGCUCGGAAUCAUUGGGCGUAAAGCGCACGUAGGCGGCCGAUUAAGUCGGAUGUGAAAGCCCUGGGCUCAACCCAGGAAGUGCAUUCGAAACUGACCGGCUUGAAUAUGGAAGAGGGUCGCGGAAUUCCCGGUGUAGAGGUGAAAUUCGUAGAUAUCGGGAGGAACACCAGUGGCGAAGGCGGCGACCUGGGCCAAUAUUGACGCUGAGGUGCGAAAGCGUGGGGAGCAAACAGG